rnacentral:rRNA from 1 species
UACGGGAGGCAGCAGUGGGGAAUAUUGCACAAUGGGCGCAAGCCUGAUGCAGCCAUGCCGCGUGUAUGAAGAAGGCCUUCGGGUUGUAAAGUACUUUCAGCAGUGAGGAAGGUGGGUAUCGUUAAUAGCAUACUCAUUUGACGUUUAGCUGCAGAAGAAGCACCGGCUAACUCCGUGCCAGCAGCCGCGGUAAUACGGAGGGUGCGAGCGUUAAUCGGAAUUACUGGGCGUAAAGCGCAUGCAGGUGGUUUGUUAAGUCAGAUGUGAAAGCCCGGGGCUCAACCUCGGAAUUGCAUUUGAAACUGGCAAACUAGAGUACUGUAGAGGGGGUAGAAUUUCAGGUGUAGCGGUGAAAUGCGUAGAGAUCUGAAGGAAUACCGGUGGCGAAGGCGGCCCCCUGGACAGAUACUGACACUCAGAUGCGAAAGCGUGGGGAGCAAACAGGAUUAGAUACCCUGGUAG